CUCUAACUUGAACUUGAAAUAAAUUCCCUCAUUCUCCAGGUGGGCGCCUGAUGCUGACUUAAAACCUGAAAUGAAUUCCCUCAUUCUCCAGAUGGGCGUAUGAUGACUUAAAACUUGAAAUAAAUUCCCUCGUUCUCCAGGUGGGCGCCUGAUGACUUAAAACUUGAAAUAAAUUCCCUCGUUCUCCAGGUGGGCGCCUGAUGACUUAAAACUUGAAAUAAAUUCCCCAUUCUCCAGGUGGGCGUCUGCUGACUUAAAAACUUGAAAUAAAUUCCCUCGUUUUUCAGGUGGGUGCCUGAUGACUUAAAACUUGAAAUAAAUUCCCUCGUUCUCCAGGUGUGCGCCUGAUGACUUAAAACUUAAAAUAAAUUCCCUCGUUCUCCAGGUGGGCGCCUGAUACUACAACAAAAU
rnacentral:lncRNA from 1 species